rnacentral:rRNA from 1 species
GCAACCCUUGUCACUAGUUGCCAUCAUUUAGUUGGGCACUCUAGUGAGACUGCCGGGUGACAAACCGGAGGAAGGUGGGGAUGACGUCAAGUCCUCAUGGCCCUUAUGGGUAGGGCUUCACACGUCAUACAAUGGUCGGUACAGAGGGUUGCCAAGCCGCGAGGUGGAGCCAAUCCCUUAAAGCCGAUCGUAGUCCGGAUCGUAGUCUGCAACUCGACUACGUGAAGUCGGAAUCGCUAGUAAUCGCAGAUCAGCAUGCUGCGGUGAAUACGUUCCCGGGUCUU